rnacentral:rRNA from 1 species
AGAGUUUGAUCAUGGCUCAGGAUAAACGCUGGCGGCGUGCCUAACACAUGCAAGUCGAACGAUCCCGCAAGGGAGAGUGGCGGAAGGGUGAGUAACACGUGGGAAUCUACCUCCUCGCAGGGAACAACCUCUCGAAAGAGAGGCUAAUACCCAAAAGGGUCAGAAAUGAUCAGAGUCGAAAGGCGUGAGGAGAGGAGCCCGCGGCCCAUCAGCUAGUUGGGUGAGGUAAUGGCUUACCAAGGCUACGACGGGUAGGGGAUCUGAGAGGAUGUCCCCCACACUGGAACUGAAACACGGUCCAGACGCCUACGGGUGGCAGCAGUGAGGAAUAUUGGACAAUGGGCGAAAGCCCGAUCCAGCAACGCCGCGUGGAGGAUGAAGGCCUUCGGGCCGUAAACUUCUUUAGAGGGAGACGAGAAAGGACGGUAUCCCUAGAAUAAGCGACGGCAAACUACGUG